rnacentral:rRNA from 1 species
GACGAACGCUGGCGGCGUGCUUAACACAUGCAAGUCGAACGAGGUCCACUGCGGAGCAAUCCAAAGGAAGACCGAGUGGCGAACGGGUGCGUAACACGUGAGGAACUUGCCCCGGUCUCUGGGAUAACAGUUGGAAACGACUGCUAAUACCGGAUGCCGUCGGAUCCCCGCAUGGGGAACUGACGAAAGGGUUACCGGAUCGGGAGAGCCUCGCGGCCUGUCAGCUUGGUGGUGGGGUAAUGGCCUACCAAGGCAUCGACGGGUAGCUGGUCUGAGAGGAUGAUGAGCCACACUGGGACUGAGACACGGCCCAGACUCCUACGGGAGGCAGCAGUGGGGAAUCUUGCGCAAUGGGCGAAAGCCUGACGCAGCAACGCCGCGUGCGGGAAGAAGGCUCUCGGGUUGUAAACCGCUUUCAGCAGGAACGAAAAUGACGGUACCUGCAGAAGAAGGUGCGGCCAACUACGUGCCAGCAGCCGCCGUAAUAC